UUCCGAUCAUAGGAUCAUCAUGAGGAUGAUGAUCGAUCUAGAUAGACUGACUCAUAGAUCGCUUCCUUUGAAAUAGAUGAGUCUCUAUUCUACAGUGUAGGGAUACUGGAUGAUAAGUGCGGGUAGUAUUUAGAGAACAACUAGUACUGAGCAUGACCAUACAAGAGAUCACUUAAAUUUUUAUCCGAUCAUCAAUGAUCAUCUCGAUGCUGUAGUUAUGUGAAUAAUUUUUUGACCUG
rnacentral:lncRNA from 1 species